rnacentral:lncRNA from 1 species
UUCCUCUACUUCAUACACAUGGAAAUCAAAGUUUGGAGAGGGAGUAAGAUCAUUGUAUUCAAUGGGCUUGAGGAUCAACCUGCAUAAUGGUUUGAUAUUUUUAUUUUAGAGAAGUGGAGUACAAACAAAUAUUAUGCAUAUGGAAGAUUACUAUUUAUUUAUGUUUUUUGUGAUUACCAUUUUCAGAAAAAAGUAAAAAGUAAAAAUAAAACAUCAUAGAUGUGGAUGAAUAAAAUUGUAUUUCAUUGAUGAUAAUAAG